rnacentral:piRNA from 1 species
UGGAACUAGAUGGAUGUGGCUGCGAC